rnacentral:rRNA from 1 species
AGUGAACGCUGGCGGUAGGCCUAACACAUGCAAGUCGAACGGCAGCACAGGAGAGCUUGCUCUCUGGGUGGCGAGUGGCGGACGGGUGAGGAAUACAUCGGAAUCUACCUUUUCGUGGGGGAUAACGUAGGGAAACUUACGCUAAUACCGCAUACGACCUACGGGUGAAAGUGGGGGACCGCAAGGCCUCACGCGAUUAGAUGAGCCGAUGUCCGAUUAGCUAGUUGGCGGGGUAAUGGCCCACCAAGGCGACGAUCGGUAGCUGGUCUGAGAGGAUGGUGAGCCACACUGGAACGGAGACACGGUCCAGACUCCUACGGGAGGCAGCAGUGGGGAAUAUUGGACAAUGGGCGCAAGCCUGAUCCAGCCAUACCGCGUGGGUGAAGAAGGCCUUCGGGUUGUAAAGCCCUUUUGUUGGGAAAGAAAUCCUAUCGGUUAAUAACCGGUGGGGAUGACGGUACCCAAAGAAUAAGCACCGGCUAACUUCGUGCCAGCCGCCGCCGUAAUAC